ACCGCCUCAUUGAUAUUCUCUCUCAGUGGGAGUUGCAGUGCAGAGACCGUCCAAAUGUGGUGAAGUUUGAGAGGCUGAAUGAGAUUUCACGGUCACAUCGUUUUUUAGCAGGUGUGAAGAAGUGAGUCAUUCCUUAUCCAAGCACCUGCACUAGAAUACAUGAGGAGUAACCUCCCUACAUCCCGGAUGUGACCCCCAUUCAUCUGUGUACUUUCAGUUGGAAUCAUUUGAUGUGGGAAAAACACAAUGAUCACUAUGUUUCGAACCUGCCUGAGAGGGAUCUACAGUUGCCACUGGAACCAGAGAAAUAAUGAACAAAACAGGGCUCGGUGCUGGCUCUCAUUUCUGUCUUUUGUGUCCAUACUUGCCCUGAGUUGGAUGUACAUCUGUUUUAUCGCCUUCAACGACCACUACGAUGUAAACAACGAACUCUUUAAAGCAGUGAAAAAAUGGGUGAACUGGUACAUGAUAGUGAUGAUCAUUUCAGCUGUGCUUGCCAUAUACUGCCUGCUUUUACUGGUAUUUGGAUUGCUACAUCUAGCCAUCAAAGAGCCAUUGAAUUUACACUGUCUGCAUAAGGUGUUUCUGUUUUUGGGUCUCCUCGCUGUUACUUUGGAAACAGCUGGAUUUUGUUUCAAAUGGGAGAAGCAGUGGAAAGCCAUCUACAUGUCCUUUCAGGCUACUGCUCCUUUCCUGCAGCUGAGCGCUGUGGUAGCUUUAACUGUGAUUAGCUGCCUCGUCUUCCAGAGCUAUCAUAGAGCUGAAACAGCUGCUUGUAAGGUUUUCAUAAUGAUGACCUUUCUGGUUGUGUCCGCUGCUGUGUUCCUGUGUCCUCUUGCAAUCUGCUCUCCAUGCAUUACCAGUAAUCUGCCCCCAAAACCUGCCCUCAUUGGACAUCGUGGUGCUCCCAUGCUGGCUCCGGAGAACACUUUGAUGUCCUUCAGGAAGAGUCUGGAGUGUGGUGUGGUGGCAUUUGAAACAGAUGUGCAACUUAGUAAGGACAAGAAGCCAUUUUUAAUGCAUGACUGUGGUAAGAAUUUUCUGCUACGAACAACUGAUGUAAAGGAUAAGUUUCCAGGUCGAGAUGGCAACAGUAACUUCACUUUGCAAGAGUUAAAAACGUUAAAUGCAGGCGAAUGGUUUUCAAGGUCGGAUCCGUUUUGGACUCUGUCAUCACUUUCAGAGGAAGAGAGGAGGGAAGCCAACAACCAGACAGUGCCAUCUCUUUCUGAGCUCUUAGUUAUGGUCAAAAAGCACAAUGUCUCCCUCAUAUUUGACCUAAAAAAUGAAAACAACUCAACAGUAUUUCAAAGCAGUGACUCCUUUUACACUACUGAAACGAUCAAUAAAUCGGGCAUCUCACCAGGCAAGAUAUGGUGGCUUCCCCCAGAAUAUAGACACGACGUGAUGAAGAUGGAACCAGGCUUCAAGCAGGUGUAUAAUAAGCAAAAGGAAAUGCUUAUGGAUGGUGGAAACUUCAUGAAUAUGAACUUCAGCUCACUUAGUGCUCGUGAAAUAAGUGAGCUGCGGAAAAGCAAUGUGUCUGUGAAUCUCUGGGUUGUGAAUGAGCGCUGGCUCUUUUCAUUACUCUGGUGCUCAGGGGUCAGUUCAGUGACCACCAAUGCCUGCCACCUCUUCAAAGGCAUGUCUAAGCCUGACUGGCAUCUGGAACCUAAUAUGUACAAUGGAAUAUGGAUCGGGACUGACAUAGUAUCAUUGCUGUUAAUGAUUGGGCUGUUUCUUUGGCAAAGAAGGAGACUGACUGGUGAUUGGUCAACAGGCAUUUAUUGAACAGAACACAAGCCGAUGUUAUUUGAGUCAUCUAGAGCAGGAAGAGGAGGUAGAUUACAGGUAUUGGAGGAAGGAGAAACAAGGUGAGCAUACGGCCUGAGCAGUGAGACAUGAAUUGAAGGUAAGAUACUCAAUCACUUCAUCCUCUUCAUUAGAGGUUGCCACAGUAUAAUGAACUGCCAGUUACUGGCAGAUGUACUCUUUGCAACAACCCAGCCCUGAGAGCACAAAAACUCUAACCUCUAAUGCUUGGAUGUGCCUGCACACUCUUCCGUCAUUGCCCUAAGGUGAGAUAUGAUAAGUGGCAACAUUAGGUGACUUAAUUUAUCAGCCUCAGAAUAAUGAACUGACCCAUAUAGAGGGGAGUCAGCUUGCGGCAUUGGUGACCACACUCCAAUGACUUUGUUGAAAAUCAGACCUUUUGCCCUGGUAGAUAUUGAGAAGUUACUCAGAAGUUGAUGUCCUAGUAUCUUUCUGCAUGACACCAUAAACUGGGAAUCCUCUGACAUAGUGGAAGAUGUCCUAUGUCAUAUUGAGCCAUAUCAAGUUGUGAGAGGGUUUAUUGGCUUCCUGGAUGUCCAGAGUCAAAGGAUGAACCGUGAGGAUAUUAUGGUGGAUGGUUGAAACUUAAACCUUACCUUCAGGACCUCCUGAUGGAGCUGGCCCAGGAGUUGGUGCCAUCUCUGAUUUGAUCAUCAAAGGACCACUGAAGGGGGGACUAAGGAUGAUGACUGGAGGGAAGCUGGGUUUCAGUGAGGAGGAUUCAGAUUCUAGAGUGUGUUUAUAUAUGUGAAAAGGCUACUGCUUUCUGGAUUUGUUAGCUGGUCUGCAAAUAACCAUGUAGCGGAAAGCUUGUAUGGGAUUAAGCCUUUUUGCCUGACAUGCUAUAGAUAGUCCAAGCUUUGGUGAUCUGUGGUUUCCCUUAAAGAGAUGUUUAGCAUCUGAGGAUGGGAAUGGAUUGUCUGUGAAAACCUUUCCUAGUUUGAGGUAGAGUUGGUGUUUUGGUUGCAGGUUGCAGUUUUUGCAGGACUUAUAUGUUAAGAUGGCAUUGUUCAUGGUGUAAAAUAUCAUUGAAUUACAAACUGAUGGAAGAACUGCUGAAAUACCUCAUUCAUACUGCCUUGAAAGACUGAAGGUGCAUUGGUCAGCCCAUAUAGCAUAACACAAUAUUUAUAGUAUCCUGAUGGGAUAACGAUAGCUGACUUCCACUCAUCAUCUGUCCGUAUCCGAAUGAGGUUGUUUGCAUUCCAGUCCAGCUUAAAAAAAAACCAUGAGCUUCAAAUAAUUGUUCUAGAGCUGCAGGAACCAAAGUAUAGUGUAUAUAUAUAUUUGUAUAUAUUGGUUGGAAAUUUGGGAGCUGGUAGAGAUGAUAGUUGAUAUACACUCACCGGCUACUUCAUUAUUUUAUCUGUCCAACUGCACGUUAACGCAAAUUUCUAAUCAGCCAAUCACAUGGCAGCAACUUAAUGCAUUUAGGCAUGCAGACAUGGUCAAGACGAUCUGCUGUAAUUUAAACCGAGCAUCAGAAUGAGGACGAAAGGUGAUUUAAGUCACUUUGACAGGCUGGUGGUUCAACCGGACAUGUAGCGAUCAGAUGGCCAUCCACUCCACUUGUUUUGAAACAGUUGUGGCCUUAUUACAAAAUACAGGGAGCAUUACAAGAGAAACCCUCUGCAUGCCUCCAACUCAUCUGAGCAUGUAACUGGUCUGGUCAUGAGACUGGGGGUCGAGGAGUGGUGCUCGAGGAGUGACUAGCUCUAGUAAGUAUUGGCUAAGUGUCUGUACCUCUUCUUCAAAUGGGUCCAGGUUUGGAUUUCUGAUGAUUGACUGGUGAUGGGACAGCAGGCGUUUUAAAGAAAACUCAAGCAGGAGAAAGAACCACAUUUAUCGUCCAAACACAAGCGAGAAAGGCAUCCCGCUGCUUGCUCUCUGAGUGAUGUCAUGCUUUCCAGGAAGGGGCGUUUCAGUAUUUGGAUGAUUUUAUGUGGUCAGAAAAUCACACCACAUUAAAUGUGACAUUUCCUUGUGCAGUGCUGGCACUAGCUAACAAAACAAGUCAUUUCAGACAUUUGCUUUGUGACAUCAGAAAUGUUAGUAUCACACACCAGUGCUUUUGUACAUUUUGAUUUUAUGAAACUUUGUUAGCCACUUACAAAAAGCAACGACUUUAAAAUGUUGAUUCUACUUUGUAUUUUUUUUUACUUUGAAGUGUCAACAACUACUGUAUACGUCAUUUAGCUGAUCUGAAUGUACUUUUUGUUUUAUACUGAGCCUAUAAAAUACUCAUCACAAUACUUCAUGACACCUAAGAAAGACACUUAAUGUACAUAAAGUGAACCAUGGUGUUUAUCGUUAUGUAUAGAUGUUUUAUGAUUUUUGUUUUUUACUUUUUAUUGAUAUUUCAAUGGUAAAUAUGGGCAUUUAUAAACUUACUUUGACAAGUUGUUUGUGAAAAACUGGGAAAAAAUAACUCCCUUCUCUCAUUCUGUCUCUUUCAAAAUGCAUUAGAGACCAAGGUUGGUUGAAUCUAUUUGUUGUACAGGGUUCAAUUUGGAGUCAUAAUUAUUGCAAUUUAUUCUCUGUUUGUAGUUCAUUUAAAUGUAGUAUAUUUGUGAUUUAAAUAAUAUUAAUAAUAGUUAUUUUUAAAGGCAAAUAUUUUUAAUGAACAAGAGAACAUGAACUGAUAAAUUUAUUUAUACUGAAAGACUACCAAGGUAAAGUCUAGAUAGGAUGCAGCUGCAGAUAUGCACGUAAAUAUAGCAUCAUUUGUAUGACCCUGUAAAACAAUAAUUCAUAUUUUUACAGUACUGUGACGGUUGAGGUUAGGGUAGGGGUAGACGUUAAAAAAUACAAUUUAUUGGGUAAUUUAAUAAAUAUCAUAAAUAAUACUUUCUACAACUACUGUUUUUACGUUACUGUGAUGGUUGAGUUUAGGGUUGGGGUGGAUGUUAAUAAAAUGCAAUCAAUGGAAAAUGUUCAUUAAAUUCGUUAACUUCCGGCCGCAACCGUAUCUGAUCCAUAGAUAUUUACGUGUGUGUGUGUGUGUGUGUGUAUAUGUAUGUGUGUAUAUAUAUAUAUGUAUCUAUGUAUCUGAGCAACAACAGACUACCAACCAGCUCUGGUCUCCUGUAAUGGUAGCUAUUCAAUUUUUUGUACUUUUAAAUGUGAAUUUCUUGUAUAAAAAUGUUGUUUGUGUUUA